GACGCGAAAGAUUGUUUCGCUGCCAGUACAAACCACUCGUCGUCGUCGAUUUUCAAACGAAAGCGCUCUUGGAUGGCUGCCGGACGAGACUCUUUAACCGUUCAACUGCGAUGAUCGUCGUCAGUGACAUAGAACGUUAGAGAUACAUAUUUUAAAGGUCCCGAGUUUCAACGUUGUUGUAUGAUUCCGAUUUCAUAAACAUCUACGGCAUACGAACAAAAUGAACGCAGAAGACAACUUAAGACUUAAAGUUACCAACAUGUAGCCUGGUAUAGGCGUA